rnacentral:rRNA from 1 species
AAUGAACGUUGGCGGCGUGGAUUAGGCAUGCAAGUCGAACGCGUGUAGCAAUACACGAGUGGCGAAAGGGACAGUAAUGUGUAGAUACGUACCCUCCGGCCUGGGAUAGUCCGUCGAAAGACGGGGUAAUACCAGAUAACGUCUCCGGACCAAAGGUGUGAUUCCACCGGUGGAGCGGUCUACAUCCUAUUAGCUUGUUGGCGGGGUAAUGGCCCACCAAGGCAAUGAUGGGUAGCGGGUGUGAGAGCACGACCCGCGUCACUGGGACUGAGACACUGCCCAGACACCUACGGGUGGCUGCAGUCGAGGAUCUUCGGCAAUGGACGCAAGUCUGACCGAGCGACGCCGCGUGCGGGAUGAAGGCUUUCGGGUUGUAAACCGCUGUCAGUGGGGAGGAAAUCUAGGUGGGUACUCUCAUCUAGUUGACCUAUCCGCAGAGGAAGCAAGGGCUAAGUUCGUGCCAGCCGCCGCGGUAACAC